rnacentral:rRNA from 1 species
CAAAGGAAGCGAUUCCGGCGGGGGAUGGGCAUGCGGCGCAUUAGCUAGUCGGCGGGGUAACGGCCCACCGAGGCGACGAUGCGUAGGGGUUCUGAGAGGAAGGUCCCCCACACUGGUACUGAGACACGGACCAGACUCCUACGGGAGGCAGCAGUGAGGAAUAUUGGUCAAUGGGCGGGAGCCUGAACCAGCCAAGUCGCGUGAGGGAAGACGGUCCUAUGGAUUGUAAACCUCUUUUGCCGGGGAGCAACGGGGUCCUUGCGAGGGCCUGAUGAGAGUACCCGGAGAAAAAGCAUCGGCUAACUCCGUGCCAGCAGCCGCGGUAAUACGGAGGAUGCGAGCGUUAUCCGGAUUUAUUGGGUUUAAAGGGUGCGUAGGCGGGCUGUUAAGUCAGCGGUCAAAUGUCGGGGCUCAACCCCGGCCUGCCGUUGAAACUGGUGGCCUCGAGUGGGCGAGAAGUAUGCGGAAUGCGUGGUGUAGCGGUGAAAUGCAUAGAUAUCACGCAGAACUCCGAUUGCGAAGGCAGCAUACCGGCGCCCGACUGACGCUGAGGCACGAAAGCGUGGGUAUCGAACAGGAUUAGAUACCCUGGUAGUCCACGCAGUAAACGAUGAAUGCUAGCUGUCCGG